UACAGAGGGUGCGAGCGUUUAAUCGGAAUUACUGGGCGUAAAGGGCGCGUAGGCGGCCUGCUAAGUCGAACGUGAAAUCCCCGGGCUCAACCCGGGAACUGCGUCCGAUACUGACAGGCUUGAAUCCGGGAGAGGGAUGUGGAAUUCCAGGUGUAGCGGUGAAAUGCGUAGAUAUCUGGAGGAACACCGGUGGCGAAGGCGGCAUCCUGGACCGGUAUUGACGCUGAUGCGCGAAAGCCAGGGGAGCAAAGCGGG
rnacentral:rRNA from 1 species